UGGAGGAAGCAACCCUGCACAGAGGGAAAGAAGAAUCUCAACAUACAGUCCUCAGCAGCUUUAGCAUGGGCAACAAAUUAAGUCUCUGUAAAAGGCCCAAAGGACAGGGUUUGGUGAGAUUCUGGAGAGCUGGAAACAUGGAGGUUGACAGGAAUGUAAAGAAGAACUCAUUUACAUGCCAGGAGGGUGGAACACCCCAAUUCCAUGAGGAUAACUGCUCCUGUACUCCAGACCUCACCCCAUGUGUCUCUUCAUCUGGCUGGUUAUUUGUCCUUUAAGAUCUCCUUACUCAACCAGUAAAUGUGUCUUUACAUUGUUUUAGUCUUGAACUAGAAGAUGAAAGCAUCAAAUAAAGAAAUAUACUGUGGGUAUAUGGAUUACAAAAAAAGCCCAAAUCUGCUCUUCUGACUCUGCAUCAGUGCAUGUCAAUACCAUCCAAGUUAUGACUCAAGAUGGAAACAAGAAAGUCAUCCUUCACAUUUGCCUGCCCCUUAAUUUUCACUGAGUCUCUUAAAGAUUAUUCCUGAAAUAUCUCUCAAAUUUGUCUUUUCUGAUUACAACCUUACUGACGCUGCAGUAAGUUAGAAACUCAACAUCUGUAGUCUAAACCGUUAAAAUAGCUGCUUGACUUUUCCGGUCUCUGUGUAGCUCUAUUCUCUCCAUUUUCAUUAAGUUUCUUUGCAAAACACAGACAUGAUACUGCCAAAGUUUCGAACAAAUACCUUUAGUGGCACUGAGUUAUCUACUGUUAAAUCGCCAGACACCUCAAGAGAGCAUUCAAGGUUCAUGAUCUUGAACCAAUUUACUUUUGGGCAUUCUCCAAAAGAAUUCCCUUGGUAGUAAAUAGUAUCCAUUGCUGAGGCUCUUGGCAACAUUUGGUGGGACAAAGGAUGGGCAAUGGGCAACAGGAAGGGCAUUCUAAACCUUCUCUCCCGACCCCCCCUCCACUUUUUUAGGGAUGGUAGAUUUAGAGUUGGGAUAGAGAAAGAAAAGAGAGAAAACUAGCCAUUGAAAUUUGAUCUCUCUCUGUGCCUUGUAAAGGAAGCCUGGUCCCCAGGCAAAAAGGGGUUUAUUUCAAGAAGGAGCAGUUACCAUCUUAGUUUCAAAUUAAACUAUAAACUAAAUUUCUCCUAAAGUGAGUUCAGCCUGUGCCCAGGAAUAAACAAGGAUAGUCUGGAGGUUAGAGGCAAGAUGGGGUGGGUUAGAUCAGAUCUCUUUCACUCCCAUAAUUUUGUCACUGUUAUAGUUUUUGCAAAGGUGUUUUCACAAAGCCUGCGAGGUGGUUGAGAAACAGAAAGAAGGCCAAUGGGCAUCUGAACUGCAUAGAAUAGUCAGUUUUAUUGCUUAAAAUGUAUUUGCAAGAGUAAGUCUGACUAUAGUAAUAUAAAUGACUUUGCUUUUUUAGUUUUUCAAUACUUAAUAAUAAAAUAUAUCUUAAUUUUA
rnacentral:lncRNA from 1 species